CACGUGAGCAAUCUGCCCCGAACUCUGGGAUAACUGCGGGAAACCGCAGCUAAUACCGGAUACGACCCAAGGAGGCAUCUCCAUUGGGUGGAAAGUUUUUCGGUUCGGGAUGAGCUCGCGGCCUAUCAGCUUGUUGGUGGGGUAAUGGCCUACCAAGGCGACGACGGGUAGCCGGCCUGAGAGGGCGACCGGCCACACUGGGACUGAGACACGGCCCAGACUCCUACGGGAGGCAGCAGUGGGGAAUAUUGCACAAUGGGCGAAAGCCUGAUGCAGCGACGCCGCGUGAGGGACGAAGGC
rnacentral:rRNA from 1 species